AUUGAACGCUGGCGGCAGGCCUAACACAUGCAAGUCGAACGGUAACAGGAAGCAGCUUGCUGCUUUGCUGACGAGUGGCGGACGGGUGAGUAAUGUCUGGGAAACUGCCUGAUGGAGGGGGAUAACUACUGGAAACGGUAGCUAAUACCGCAUAACGUCGCAAGACCAAAGAGGGGGACCUUCGGCCCUCUUGCCAUCGGAUGUGCCCAGAUGGGAUUAGCUAGUAGGUGGGGUAACGGCUCACCUAGGCGACGAUCCCUAGCUGGUCUGAGAGGAUGACCAGCCACACUGGAACUGAGACACGGUCCAGACUCCUACGGGAGGCAGCAGUGGGGAAUAUUGCACAAUGGGCGCAAGCCUGAUGCAGCCAUGCCGCGUGUAUGAAGAAGGCAUUCGGGUUGUAAAGUACUUGCAGCGGGGAGGAAGGGAGUAAAGUUAAUACCUUUGCUCAUUGACGUUACCCGCAGAAGAAGCACCGGCUAACUCCGUG
rnacentral:rRNA from 1 species